GGGGGCGAUCGGAUUUGACUGGGUCACUGUAGAUCCGGGUGGCGUGUCGUGGUUGAUCAGUUGGCCACGUAAAAAGCUGAUCAAACAAUAACUGCAACUCCGCAGUACUCUCUGGCUGCCUAGAAAUAGGCCGUCCCGAACAAGGAAUCCCUGUCUGAGGAGUCCGAAGUUCGGUUGCAAAUUCAGACUGGCAUCAGCUCACUGUUCACUACGGCUUUUGCGAGAUCUUGUUGUGAACUAGCGUUGGACGGUUUUGUUCGGUGAACCUCGUCAACGCGAAUUCAAUCAACGGACUACACACGUAGAUGCCUUGUUCAAGGUACCACAGGAC
rnacentral:tmRNA from 1 species